rnacentral:rRNA from 1 species
ACUGCUCAGUAACACGUGGACAACCUGCCCUUGGGUUGGGUAUAAACCCGGAAACUGGGUAUAAUACCCGAUAGGUCUCGAUUGCUGGAAUGCAUCGAGAUUUAAAGCUCCGGCGCCUAAGGAUGGGUCUGCGGCCUAUCAGGUAGUAGUGGGUGUAGCGUACCUACUAGCCUACGACGGGUACGGGUUGUGAGAGCAAGAGCCCGGAGAUGGAUUCUGAGACACGAAUCCAGGCCCUACGGGGUGCAGCAGGCGCGAAAACUUUACAAUGCUGGCAACAGCGAUAAGGGAACCUCGAGUGCCAGGUUACAAAUCUGGCUGUCGAGAUGCCUAAAAAGCAUUUCAUAGCAAGGGCCGGGCGAGACCGGUGCCAGCCGCCGCGGUAACACCGGCGGCUCGAGUGGUAACCGUUAUUAUUGGGUCUAAAGGGUCUGUAGCCGGCCGGAUAAGUCUCUUGAGAAAUCUGGCAGCUUAACUGUCAGGCUUUCAGGAGAUACUGUCUGGCUCGAGGCCGGGAGAGGUGAGAGGUACUUCAGGGGUAGGGGUGAAAUCUUGUAAUCCUUGAAGGACCACCAGUGGCGAAGGCGUCUCACCAGAACGGACCUGACGGCAAGGGACGAAAGCUAGGGGCACGAACCGGAUUAGAUACCCGGGUAGUCCUAGCCGUAAACGAUACUCGCUAGGUGUCGGCCACGGUGCGACCGUUGUCGGUGCCGUAGGGAAGCCGUGAAGCGAGCCACCUGGGAAGUACGGCCGCAAGGCUGAAACUUAAAGGAAUUGGCGGGGGAGCAC